ensembl:snoRNA SNORD15 Small nucleolar RNA SNORD15
CUUCGAUGAAGAAGUGAUGACGAGCCUGACUUGGGGGUGUUAUCUUUGUCCGAGUGUCCUCACUCUGUGCUGCGUUCUGUGGCACAUUUUUAAAGGACCGUGGUCAAAGAAAACUUCCUAGAGAUGACCAAGAGGCAUUUGUCUGAGAAGG